rnacentral:rRNA from 1 species
CAUUAAUUUUCCUUUACCGGGUAUUACUUUUAGGAUUUUACGCUCUAAUAGGGAGACAAGUUAUAGUAAAAUUUGUUAAAAACAAAUAAAGUGAGAAUUAGUCCUUAGAUUUUGGGGGAUAUAGAAGGCAGGCUGCCCUUUUAAUACAUGCAAGUGGGGCCUAAGAAUUUAGGAGAACCCCGCAAACAGGGGAGUAAGUCCGGACCCAAAGGAUUGGGCUGGGACCUUAUUAGGUGGAGGGGGGUGUAAAAGACCACCCUGCUUAAGAUGGGAAGCUUACUUUGAGCCCCACUUUCCCUGGAACAAGGGGGAGGCUCACCCGGAGACCGCAGUAGAGAAUCUUGUGCAAUGAGCGAAAGCGUGACACAGAGAGGACGUACCCAGUCUGUCCAACUUAAGUGCCAGCAGACGCGGUAAAACUUAAGGGCUGGUCUCUAUAACCAAAAAGGCGUAAAGGAUGUGUCGGCCAAAAUUAUAAGAUAAGGUAAAGGGAAUUUUUCUGUAGCGGUAGAAUGUGUAAAUAGAAAAAAGAACCUCCAAGGUUAAAACCAAUUACUCUAAAAAAGGCUGAAACAUGAGAGGGUGGGAAGCAAACAGGAUUAGAGACCCUGGUAGUCCACCCCGGGAACUAUGAAGAUUAUGCGGGGCAGACCCUAAAGGAAAAUCUUCCGCCUGAGUAGUACGAUUGCAAAAUUAAAAUUCAAAAAGUUUGGCUGUUCACUUCUUAAAUUAGAGGAGCGUGUUGUUUAAUUCGAUGGUCCGCGUGUAACCUUACCCCAGCUUGAAACAAAACAGGUAUUGCAUGGCCGCCUUAAGCCCAUGUACAAAACAGGUACUGCAUGGCCGUCUUAAGGCCGCGUGUUUAACAAAAGGGUACGCAAUCCGCGCCUUAGCUCGGAGAAAGACAGGUCUCAUGGUCCUCAUGUUGGGGGAUUUAUGCGCUACAUUUUCUUAUAUAAUGGGAUGCUCUGGCAAAUCCCCAAAGUAGGGGCCCAAAAAGGGGCUGGAAUGCCCCCCCAAAUUGGAUUUAAUAAUAAUCGGGAAGAAGAGCGUCCCGAUGAGUAACUAUCAGAGUUGGUGGAAAUCGUCCGUCGCCGGUGCUUAAAAAAAUUAUUUGGACGCUUAAAGUGGCAACAAAGAUCUAUGAGGUAGAGAAAGUCGUAACAUGGUGAGGGGAGGGGAACCUCCCCUUG